GCUGACACCAGAACAGAUGAAAAACUGACUUUUGAGGGAGAGGUUUGCAUCUGUGGAGGAAAUGAAGUGAAGUAAACAACAGAUAGAAACAGGCUUUCUUUGAAGCCCCCCUUGUUGGGACCUGGGAAAGAUGAAUUGAGAGUCUGACAAUUUAAAGCUCUGACAGAAAUAUUUACUGCUGGCUACGAUUUAUUUUUUUCUGAAGGCUGCUACCUGUGAGGUUUCAUCUGCAUAGUAAGACCCCUUUGCUAGUUGCUAACUUUGGAGGAAGCCAGCUGCCAUGUCACAAAAAGAUUCAGGAAGCCAUGUGGAGAGGCCCACAUCAUGAGGAACUGAGGUCUUUGCCAAUUACCAGCAAGGAAAUGAGGCCUCCUGCCAACAGCCACGUGAGUAUCCUACCUUGGAAAUGGACCCUCUAACUUCAAUCAGCCUUCAAAUAACUGCAGCCCCAGUUGAUGGCUUGACUGCAACCUUAGGAGAAACCCUGAGCCAAAAACAUUGAGGAAAAACACCCCCAGAUUCCUAUCAGAAAUUGUGUAAGAUAAUAAAUGUUUGUUGUUUUAAGCUGCUAAGUUUUAGGGUGAUUUGUUAUACAGAAGUAGAUAACUAAUACAGAGACAGAAGAAUUACUUUUGGGAGGGUUUGAUCAUUCUGGGCCUGCAAGAAGCCUAAACUGCUUCCUACCCCUUUGUACUGAUGAGAGCUGAGGCACAUGGUCACACCUAAGAAGCUAACUGCAAGAGCACCUGGGAAAUACAGUCUAGCCAAGUGCCCAGGAGGAAGGAAACACUUUGAUAAAUAGCUGGCCAGUCUUGGCCACAUUCAGUGAGUUUAUAUUUGGGAAUGUUUGGACCACAAGAAUCUGGUGACUAUUUAUUCCAAUUCAGACAAGAUUCUUAGAGGAAAUAGGUAAAGUCUUUGACAUAGUCUCUUUUCGAGAAUGAUGCCAAAAAUGGCUGGAGUUUGUCUAUGUCUUUGGUUUGUCUAAUUUAGUAGUGCUGUCAUAACAACAGCAGCAGCAGCACCGCUACUGACAACUAACAUUCAUUGAACACCCAGGCAUUGU
rnacentral:lncRNA from 10 species